CUUUCAGUCUGAUAGAAGUACGACUGGAGCGCUAUCGCGACGACCAAAUUUUUAUACAACGAAUUAGACAACAAUAAAAAUGUAAUUGCAGUUUUCUUAGAUCUGGUAAAAGCGUUUGACACGGUUGAUCAUGAUGUACUUCUAAAAAUGUUGCGAAGUUUUAGAAUAGCAAACGAAAGUUUUAUGUGAUUUAAAAGAUACCCUAAUAACAGAAAAAAGGAAACCUCGAUAUACGACGUUCACAGCGAUGAGGGUGUAAUCAAUUUCGGAGUAUCUCAAGACAGUGUUUUAGGACCAGUAUUAUUUAUUUUAUGUAUAAAUA